AGCUUUGCGCAGUGGCAGUAUCGUAGCCAAUGAGGUUUAUCCGAGGCGCGAUUAUUGCUAAAAGAACAUCGCCCAAAAUGCAGAGUGACAAACCAAAGAGAUGGAAAUUAGGAGGCAAAAAGAUAAGAAAAUUUG